rnacentral:rRNA from 1 species
AAUUCGACGCAACGCGCAGAACCUUACCUGGUCUUGACAUCCCGAGAAUUUUCCGGAAACGGAGAAGUGCCUCGCAAGAGGAGCUUGGAGACAGGUGCUGCAUGGCUGUCGUCAGCUCGUGUCGUGAGAUGUUGGGUUAAGUCCCGCAACGAGCGCAACCCUUGUCUUUAGUUGCCAUCAUUAAGUUGGGCACUCUAAAGAGACUGCCGGUGUCAAACCGGAGGAAGGUGGGGAUGACGUCAAGUCCUCAUGGCCUUUAUGACCAGGGCUACACACGUACUACAAUGGCAGGUACAAAGGGCAGCCACUUAGCGAUAAGGCGCGAAUCCCAUAAAACCUGUCUCAGUCCGGAUUGGAGUCUGCAACUCGACUCCAUGAAGUUGGAAUCGCUAGUAAUCGUAGAUCAGCACGCUACGGUGAAUACGUUCCCGGGCAUGUGGUGUACAAGG